GUUUCUGUAGUGUUGCGGUUAUCACGUUCGCCUAACACGCGAAAGGUCCCUGGUUCGAAACCGGGCAGAAACA
rnacentral:tRNA from 1 species